UCGGGAUAGCUCAGCUGGUAGAGCAGAGGACUGAAAC
rnacentral:tRNA from 1 species